CAGCGAUAGCUCAGUUGGUAGAGCAUCUGCCAGGUAAGAGGAGUGUCGCCGGUCCGACUCCGGCUUGCGA
rnacentral:tRNA from 1 species